rnacentral:rRNA from 1 species
GAUGAACGCUGGCGGCGUGCCUAAUACAUGCAAGUCGAGCGAACGGACGAGAAGCUUGCUUCUCUGAUGUUAGCGGCGGACGGGUGAGUAACACGUGGAUAACCUACCUAUAAGACUGGGAUAACUUCGGGAAACCGUAGCUAAUACCGGAUAAUAUUUUGAACCGAAUGGUUCCAAAGUGAAAGACGGUCUUGCUGUCACUUAUAGAUGGAUCCGCGCUGCAUUAGCUAGUUGGUAAGGUAACGGCUUACCAAGGCAACGAUGCAUAGCCGACCUGAGAGGUGGAUCGGCCACACUGGAACUGAGACACGGUCCAGACUCCUACGGGAGGCAGCAGUAGGGAAUCUUCCGCAAUGGGCGAAAGCCUGACGGGGCAACGCCGCGUGGGUGAUGAAGGUCUUCGGAUCUUAAAACUCUGUUAUUAGGGAAGAACAUAUGUGUAAGUAACUGUGCACAUCUUGACGGUACCUAAUCAGAAAGCCACGGCUAACUACGUG